rnacentral:rRNA from 1 species
GAUGAACGCUAGCGGCAGGCCUAACACAUGCAAGUCGAGGGAGAAGCCUUCGGGCUGAAACCGGCGCACGGGUGCGUAACGCGUAUACAAUCUGCCUUUCACAUAGGGAUAGCCCGAAGAAAUUUGGAUUAAUACCUAAUGGUAUAUAGGAGCGGCAUCGUUUUUAUAUUAAAGCUACGGUGGUGAAAGAUGAGUAUGCGUUCUAUUAGCUAGUUGGAGAGGUAACGGCUCCCCAAGGCGACGAUAGAUAGGGGUUCUGAGAGGGAUGUCCCCCACACUGGUACUGAGAUACGGACCAGACUCCUACGGGAGGCAGCAGUGAGGAAUAUUGGACAAUGGUCGGAAGACUGAUCCAGCCAUGCCGCGUGCAGGAUGAAGGUCCUAUGGAUUGUAAACUGCUUUUGUAAGGGAAGAAUAAGGGGUACGUGUACUUUGAUGACGGUACCUUACGAAUAAGCAUCGGCUAACUCCGUGCCAGCAGCCGCGGUAAUACGGAGGAUGCGAGCGUUAUCCGGAAUCAUUGGGUUUAAAGGGUCCGUAGGCGGGCUAAUAAGUCAGAGGUGAAAGCGUUCAGCUCAACUGAGCAACUGCCUUUGAAACUGUUAGUCUUGAAUGAUUGUGAAGUAGUUGGAAUAUGUAGUGUAGCGGUGAAAUGCUUAGAUAUACACAGAACACCGAUAGCGAAGGCAUAUUACUAACAAUUUAUUGACGCUGAUGGACGAAAGCGUGGGGAGCGAACAGG